rnacentral:sRNA from 1 species
CUGACGGCACUGGAAACUGAAGUCCUCUUUUUGUCCACCAAACAGGUACAGCGUGAGUAGCAGCAGUACAAGCUUCACCACCCUGCCCCACCACAGUGCUGCACACCCUGGCCCAGAGAGGGGCCUCUAGCUAAGAGGGCUGGGAGGCUUGUUCAGUCUCCAUGCUCACUCAUUCCAUACU